GGUUGAAGCUCUGGACAAACAGGGCAGGAACCCAAGGAACCACAAGGGAAAGCUUCUUCCAAGAAGACUUUUAUCUGCAAAGCUUGUGAUAAGAGCUUCCACUUCUACUGCCUCCUAAAGCUGCACAUGAAAUGUUGUCGGGUGGCCAGAGGAAAACAAAUCCAGUGUAAGGACUGCACUGAAAUCAAAUCCACAAAGAACUGGAGAAACACCAGCUGGAGGUCCAUGGAGCAGUGGGGAUAGCCAAGAAGAAGAGGUGUCACCCUGUGGCAUGUGGCAUCUAUGGCUGAGAGUUUGCUCAUGCCUCAGGUUCCCAUGGUGGAUUCACGGUGGCCCGUGGCGUGUUGGAAGCCACUCCAACAUUUCCUUUGGAAUAAUCCUACCCACAGCAUCAAACCACAGAGGCCUGAGCCACCACAGCCCAGAUUGUGCAGGUGAUUCAGACGUCAGAGGAAGGAGCAGCAGAACACAUCAUCUCUUUUGGAAGCCCAGGUUGCCGUCUCCCAAGUCUUUGUGACAUUGCCCGAAUCCCAGGUUUUUGGGAGCCAGCAACCAUAUGACCCUGCUGAAAUGUUGCGAAGUGCUGCAGCCUUUCUCUCCUUCAGCUGUCUGCGUGGUUUGUCCCCAGGGCUUUGCAGUGACAGUGAAAUGGAGGAAGCGUUAAGGUAACAUGCCACUGACACCAGGAGUGACCAGGAGAUGGUGCUCGAGGUCUUGAGUAGUGCCAGUGGCCAGGUGAGUCUGCUCCUCUGAGGGCCAGCCCCAGCCCCUGGGCUGGCAGGCAGGGAGAGACCUUGAGCUGGUGCCAGGCUGCAGAGCACAGCACCAAGCCCCGGACAUCACUGCUUAAAGGAGAGCCUGAACCUGGGCUGUGCCCACCUGUGGAGAGAGCAAAACACAGGUGAUGCUGAGGUGAAGUGAUGAAAAAGCCUGGGAAGCCCCCACUCCCUGCAGCCAGCAGCAGAGCAGGGAGGAGGCUGCUGGAGAGCAUCACGCAUCCGUCCAGACACAGGGAUGUAGGAAGAGCUGUGCACAGUGCUCAGGCUGAGCACAGAGACAAAGACAGCACAGACAAGCACGCCUAGAAGUGUGUGUGGAAGGUAUGUGAUGGAUUUUGCCCCACAGGUUGGAGAGGUGGGAGCUGAUCCCCAUUUUCUGGAUCCAUGGGGACUUGCAGCUACAGAACUCUUGCACAGGUGUGACAGUGUGGAUGUUUAACCCACAGAACCGUAGGGUAUCUUUAUUCCUCCCCCAGAGGAUGGAAAAUAGGUGGGGGCUCACAGCAGACCCUGGCAUUGCUUUGCAGAUGUCUUGGCCCUCAUCUUGGAGCCAACAUUUGUAGGGAGCUCUUGGUGCAGUUGAUCUUCUUUUGUGGCUGAAAAAUGAAGGAGGAAGAGUAAAGGUCUAGCAGGGCUUAGUGGGAAGUUACCUUCUUUAUAGCCCUCUUAUUAAGGCACAGGGAGUUGGCUAGGGAAGAGCAUGCACAUGGAGCACUUUGGUUUUGAUUUGUUUGGUCCCUGUUGACCAAGCCUUGCCACGGUGACGUGUAAGGCAACAAAAAUCACACACUGGGCGCCAUUCAGGCUCACGUCUCCUGUUUUAGGGCCAUCUCUCCUGUCCGUGGCCCAGAUUUGAGAGCUGCCUGCACCAAUCCCCAGGAGCUGUGCACCCAUGGGUGGCCUGGUGCUGGCUGGGGACACCAGCUGAGGUGCAGUGCAGCUCCAGUGCCCUGUGGGGCAUCCAGGGAACUGAAGACAUCUGCCUGCAAGAGCCUGGGUGGCUGUGUCCCCAGGAGAGCCAUGCUAGCAGUACACACUGAGGGAGAGCUGUAAAGGACACCGUCAGACACCGCUCUAUCAUUACAAGGAGAUAAGGCAGAUCCCCUCCCCUUUCCAGCUGCUUCUUGGUUGGUGAAAUACACGUGUCAGAGCAAAGUGCAGCGUUAGUGACGUCUUUGUCCUGCACGUUUCCCAGGGCACAGCCUGGUCUUGGUAUGCGCGGUGCCAAAGGUACCAGUCACUGCUGAUUUCUCGUUAUGUUGCAAAUCCUUUUCUCUAUGUGAGAAUAAAACUUAGGGAAUGAAGUGCCUCGUUUCGUGU
rnacentral:lncRNA from 1 species